rnacentral:rRNA from 1 species
AGCCUGACGGAGCAACGCCGCGUGAGUGAAGAAGGUCUUCGGAUCGUAAAGCUCUGUUGAUGGGGACGAACGUGCGAAGGGUGAAUAAUCCUUUGCAAUGACGGUACCUAUCGAGGAAGCCACGGCUAACUACGUGCCAGCAGCCGCGGUAAUACGUAGGUGGCGAGCGUUGUCCGGAAUCAUUGGGCGUAAAGGGAGCGCAGGCGGGCAUGUAAGUCUUUCUUAAAAGUUCGGGGCUCAACCCCGUGAUGGGAAAGAAACUACAUGUCUUGAGUACAGGAGAGGAAAGCGGAAUUCCCAGUGUAGCGGUGAAAUGCAUAGAUAUUGGGAGGAACACCAGUGGCGAAGGCGGCUUUCUGGACUGCAACUGACGCUGAGGCUCGAAAGCCAGGGGAGCGAACGGGAUUAGAUACCCCGGUAGUCCUGGCCGUAAACGAUGGAUACUAAGUGUGGGAGGUAUCGACCCCUACCGUGCCGGAGUUAACGCAAUAAGUAUCCCGCCUGGGGAGUACGGUCGCAAG